rnacentral:rRNA from 1 species
AAUUAUUAUUAGAUUUUUAAAUAAUUAUUCACGAAAUAAAUUGAGCUAAAUUUUUGGUAUUUUUGGAAAUUAUAACUAUAUGUUACAAAAUAUAUUAACUAAAUAGAUUUAGGGGUGAAAGGCCUAUCAAAUUUUAUGAUAUCUUGAAGUAUAUAAAAUAUAUUAAGUAUUUCUAAUUCAACUAUUGAAUGUUUAGGUUCAAUAGUAACAUUAUAUUUUUUAAAAAAUUGUUCAAUUUUUUUAAGUAAAAUUGAGUUAGAGCAUAAAAUAUACAUCAAAUUUUUAUUAUAUGAAUAUAAAUAUACUACGGUUAUUAAUAAAUAUAAUCAUAUAUAAUGUAAUUAUUAGUAAUAGUUAUUAAACUAUAUAAAGGAAUUCGGCAAGAAAAUUUUUCACCUGUUUAUCAAAAACAUAGCUUAUUGAAUAUCAUAAUAAGUAACCCCUGCUCAAUGGAAAUCUAAAUAGCCGCAGUACCUUGACUGUGCAAAGGUAGCAUAAUCAAUUGGCUUAUAAUUGAAGUCUGGAAUGAAUGGGUAAUCUGGAAAAUAACUGUCUUUAUUUGUAGUAUUUUGAAUUUACUUAUAAAGUGAAAAUACUUUAAUAUAAAUAUAAGACGAGAAGACCCUAGAAAUUUUUUGUUAAUAACUUUUGUUGGGGCGACAGGGUAACAUAUAAACUUACUUACAUUUAUAUAAAUCUUAUAAGGUACGUAACUAAAUUACUCUAGGGAUAACAGCAUAAUAUAUAAAAGUUUAUGACCUCGAUGUUGGACUAGGUAAUUAAAUAUUUAAAAGAUAUCUUAAUUUGCUCUGUUCGAGCAGCACCACCUACAU